CCCCUAGAUGUUCUGGGCCGCACGCGCGCUACACUGAACAGUUCAACAAGUCUUAACCUUGGCCGAUAGGUCUGGGUAAUCUUUGAACGCUGUUCGUGAUUGGGAUAGACCUUUGCAAUUAUGGGUCUUCAACGAGGAAUUCCUAGUAAACGCAGGUCAUCAGCUUGCAUUGAUUACGUCCCUGCCCUUUGUACACACCGCCCGUCGCACCUACCGAUUGAAUGGUCCGGUGAAAUCUCGGGACGGCGGCUUGGUCGCUUGCGUCCGACUGCUGAAACUUGAUUAAACCAUAUCAUUUAGAGGAAGGUGAAGUCGUANCA
rnacentral:rRNA from 1 species